GCUUGCUCCCGGAUGUUAGCGGCGGACGGGUGAGUAACACGUGGGUAACCUGCCUGUAAGACUGGGAUAACUCCGGGAAACCGGAGCUAAUACCGGAUAGUUCCUUGAACCGCAUGGUUCAAGGAUGAAAGACGGUUUCGGCUGUCACUUACAGAUGGACCCGCGGCGCAUUAGCUAGUUGGUGGGGUAAUGGCUCACCAAGGCGACGAUGCGUAGCCGACCUGAGAGGGUGAUCGGCCACACUGGGACUGAGACACGGCCCAGACUCCUACGGGAGGCAGCAGUAGGGAAUCUUCCGCAAUGGACGAAAGUCUGACGGAGCAACGCCGCGUGAGUGAUGAAGGUUUUCGGAUCGUAAAGCUCUGUUGUUAGGGAAGAACAAGUGCGAGAGUAACUGCUCGCACCUUGACGGUACCUAACCAGAAAGCCACGGCUAACUACGUGCCAGCAGCCGCGGUAAUACGUAGGUGGCAAGCGUUGUCCGGAAUUAUUGGGCGUAAAGGGCUCGCAGGCGGUUUCUUAAGUCUGAUGUGAAAGCCCCCGGCUCAACCGGGGAGGGUCAUUGGAAACUGGGAAACUUGAGUGCAGAAGAGGAGAGUGGAAUUCCACGUGUAGCGGUGAAAUGCGUAGAGAUGUGGAGGAACACCAGUGGCGAAGGCGACUCUCUGGUCUGUAACUGACGCUGAGGAGCGAAAGCGUGGGGAGCGAACAGGAUUAGAUACCCUGGUAGUCCACGCCGUAAACGAUGAGUGCUAAGUGUUAGGGGGUUUCCGCCCCUUAGUGCUGCAGCUAACGCAUUAAGCACUCCGCCUGGGGAGUACGGUCGCAAGACUGAAACUCAAAGGAAUUGACGGGCGCCCGCACAAGCGGUGGAGCAUGUGGUUUAAUUCGAAGCAACGCGAAGAACCUUACCAGGUCUUGACAUCCUCUGACAACCCUAGAGAUAGGGCUUUUCCCUUCGGGGACAGAAUGACAGGUGUUGCAUGGUUGUCGUCAGCUCCAGUCGGGGAGAUGUUGGGUUAAGUCCCGCAACCAACCGCAACCCUUGAUCUUAGUUGCCAGCAUUCAUUUGGGGCACUCUAAGGUGAAUGGCCGGUGACAAACCGGAAGGAAGGGUGGGGAUGACGUCCAAUUUCUCGGCCCUCUUCAA
rnacentral:rRNA from 1 species